rnacentral:rRNA from 1 species
GAUGAACGCUGGCGGCGUGCCUAAUACAUGCAAGUCGAGCGAACAGACGAGGAGCUUGCUCCUCUGACGUUAGCGGCGGACGGGUGAGUAACACGUGGAUAACCUACCUAUAAGACUGGGAUAACUUCGGGAAACCGGAGCUAAUACCGGAUAAUAUAUUGAACCGUAUGGUUCAAUAGUGAAAGACGGUUUUGCUGUCACUUAUAGAUGGAUCCGCGCCGCAUUAGCUAGUUGGUAAGGUAACGGCUUACCAAGGCGACGAUGCGUAGCCGACCUGAGAGGGUGAUCGGCCACACUGGAACUGAGACACGGUCCAGACUCCUACGGGAGGCAGCAGUAGGGAAUCUUCCGCAAAGGGCGAAAGCCUGACGGAGCAACGCCGCGUGAGUGAUGAAGGUCUUCGGAUCGUAAAACUCUGUUAUUAGGGAAGAACAAAUGUGUAAGUAACUAUGCACGUCUUGACGGUACCUAAUCAGAAAGCCACGGCUAACUACGUG